rnacentral:rRNA from 1 species
GCCUACGGGACGCAGCAGUGGGGAAUAUUGCACAAUGGGGGAAACCCUGAUGCAGCGACGCCGCGUGAGCGAAGAAGUAUUUCGGUAUGUAAAGCUCUAUCAGCAGGGAAGAAAAAUGACGGUACCUGAGUAAGAAGCACCGGCUAAAUACGUGCCAGCAGCCGCGGUAAUACGUAUGGUGCAAGCGUUAUCCGGAUUUACUGGGUGUAAAGGGAGCGUAGACGGCAGGGCAAGUCUGGAGUGAAAGCCCGGGGCCCAACCCCGGGACUGCUUUGGAAACUGCCAUGCUGGAGUGCUGGGGAGGG